CGGAAGUGUAUUUCUAGCGCAACUGGCAGCGCGCUUGACUGGCAGUCAGAGGUCGUGGGUUCAAGUCCCACCGCUCCGACCA
rnacentral:tRNA from 1 species